GAUGAACGCUGGCGGCGUGCCUAACACAUGCAAGUCGAGCGAACAGACGCGGAUCUUGCUCCUCUGACGUUAGCGGCGGACGGAUGAGUAACACGUCCUUAACCUACCUAUAAGACUGCGAUAACUUCGGGAAACCGAUGCUAAUACCGGAUCAUAUAUUCAACCGCAUGGUUCAAUAGUUAAAGCCGGUUUUGCUGUCAUUUAUGGAUGGAUGCGCGCGGGUUUGGUUGUUUGGUAGGGUAGCGGCUUACCAAGGCCACAAUGGGUAGCCGACCUGAGAGCGUGAUGGGCGACAGUGGAGGUGAGACACGGCCCAGAGUCCUAGGGGAGGCAGAGGUAGGGAAUCGUCGGCGAUGGGCGGAAGCUUGACGGAGCAGCGGCGCGUGGGUGAUGAAGGUCUGCGGGUGGGAAGACUCUGUUAUGGGGGAAGAACAAAUGUGUAAGGAGCUAUGCACGUCUUGACGGUACCUGAAGAGGAAGCCACGGCUAACUACGUG
rnacentral:rRNA from 1 species